rnacentral:rRNA from 1 species
GAUGAACGCUAGCGGCAGGCCUAACACAUGCAAGUCGAGGGGUAGGGAGAGCUUGCUCUCCUGAGACCGGCGCACGGGUGCGUAACGCGUAUACAAUCUACCUUUUGCUACGGGAUAGCCCAGAGAAAUUUGGAUUAACACCGUAUAGUAUAUAAAGGCCUCAUGGUUUUUAUAUUAAAGGCUACGGCAGAAGAUGAGUAUGCGUCCUAUUAGCUAGAUGGUAAGGUAACGGCUCACCAUGGCAACGAUAGGUAGGGGCCCUGAGAGGGGGAUCCCCCACACUGGUACUGAGACACGGACCAGACUCCUACGGGAGGCAGCAGUGAGGAAUAUCGGACAAUGGGCGCAAGCCAGAUCCAGCCAUGCCGCGUGCAGGAAGACUGCCCUAUGGGUUGUAAACUGCUUUUGUACGGGAAGAAACACCCCCUCGUGAGGGGGCUUGACGGUACCGUAAGAAUAAGGAUCGGCUAACUCCGUGCCAGCAGCCGCGGUAAUACGGAGGAUCCAAGCGUUAUCCGGAAUCAUUGGGUUUAAAGGGUCCGUAGGUGGAUAAUUAAGUCAGGGGUGAAAGUCUGCAGCUCAACUGUAGAAUUGCCUUUGAUACUGGUUAUC